rnacentral:ncRNA from 1 species
CCUUUGAUGUGGGCUCUUCAUUUCAUUGUGAUGCAGAAUUCACCAAGCGCUGGAUUGUUCACCCACUAAUAGGGAAUGUGAGCUGGGAUGAGACCAUCAGGAGACAGGUU